rnacentral:rRNA from 1 species
UGGGGAAUAUUGGACAAUGGGGGCAACCCUGAUCCAGCCAUGCCGCGUGAGUGAUGAAGGCCCUAGGGUUGUAAAGCUCUUUUGUGCGGGAAGAUAAUGACGGUACCGCAAGAAUAAGCCCCGGCUAACUUCGUGCCAGCAGCCGCGGUAAUACGAAGGGGGCUAGCGUUGCUCGGAAUCACUGGGCGUAAAGGGUGCGUAGGCGGGUCUUUAAGUCAGGGGUGAAAUCCUGGAGCUCAACUCCAGAACUGCCUUUGAUACUGAAGAUCUUGAGUUCGGGAGAGGUGAGUGGAACUGCGAGUGUAGAGGUGAAAUUCGUAGAUAUUCGCAAGAACACCAGUGGCGAAGGCGGCUCACUGGCCCGAUACUGACGCUGAGGCACGAAAGCGUGGGGAGCAAACAGGAUUAGAUACCCUGGUAGUCCACGCCGUAAAACGAUGAAUGCCAGCCGUUGGUGGGUUUUACUCACCAGUGGCGCAGCUAACGCUUUAAGCAUUCCGCCNGGGGGAGUACGGUCGCAAGAUUAAAAACUCAAAGGAAUUGACGGGGUCAUAGCUGUUUCCU